ensembl:lncRNA
AGUUGCGGGAUCUUUUUACGCUGACUUGAAGAGAGGUUCUCAACGCAAUGCCAAAGUCCACAUCAUCACGCAGCGAUAGACAUGAGCUAUCUGCCGCACAGCCCUCUGUGACCCGGGCAGGGCGCGGCGGUGUGGUGUGGAAAGACGUUGGAGGAGCGGUGAAAACCUUUCGUCGACACUGGCUUCAGAGGCAGACAGUUGAGAAGAACGUUCCCCGACUCGGACCCCCUCAUAAGAAGGAAUGAGAAGAAAAAUCUUCUUAAUGAAAGCGGUCCAACCACUAGUGACACAGCGGCCUCUCCCACGUACUCCAUCA